rnacentral:rRNA from 1 species
AGAGCGAACGCUGGCGGCAGGCUUAACACAUGCAAGUCGAGCGGGCGUAGCAAUACGUCAGCGGCAGACGGGUGAGUAACGCGUGGGAACGUACCUUUUGGUUCGGAACAACCCAGGGAAACUUGGGCUAAUACCGGAUAAGCCCUUACGGGGAAAGAUUUAUCGCCGAAGGAUUGGCCCGCGUCUGAUUAGCUAGUUGGCGGGGUAACGGCCCACCAAGGCGACGAUCAGUAGCUGGUCUGAGAGGAUGAUCAGCCACAUUGGGACUGAGACACGGCCCAAACUCCUACGGGAGGCAGCAGUGGGGAAUAUUGGACAAUGGGCGCAAGCCUGAUCCAGCCAUGCCGCGUGAGUGAUGAAGGCCUUAGGGUUGUAAAGCUCUUUUACCUGGGAAGAUAAUGACGGUACCAGGAGAAUAAGCCCGGCUAACUUCGUGCCAGCAGCCGC